rnacentral:rRNA from 1 species
CCUACGGGUGGCAGCAGUGAGGAAUAUUGGUCAAUGGACGAGAGUCUGAACCAGCCAAGUAGCGUGAAGGAUGACUGCCCUAUGGGUUGUAAACUUCUUUUAUAAAGGAAUAAAACGAGGCACGUGUGCCUUUUUGUAUGUACUUUAUGAAUAAGGAUCGGCUAACUCCGUGCCAGCAGCCGUGGUAAUACGGAGGAUCCGAGCGUUAUCCGGAUUUAUUGGGUUUAAAGGGAGCGUAGAUGGGUUGUUAAGUCAGUUGUGAAAGUUUGCGGCUCAACCGUAAAAUUGCAAUUGAUACUGGCAGUCUUGAGUACAGUUGAGGUAGGCGGAAUUCGUGGUGUAGCGGUGAAAUGCUUAGAUAUCACGAAGAACCCCGAUUGCGAAGGCAGCUUACUAAACUGUGACUGACAUUGAUGCUCGAAAGUGUGGGUAUCAAACAGGAUUAGAUACCCCUGUAGUC